rnacentral:rRNA from 1 species
UAUGUGAUCGUCUCUCGCAUAUCAAUAAGCGGAGGAAAAGAAACUAACAAGGAUUCCCCUAGUAACGGCGAGUGAAGCGGGAAGAGCUCAAAUUUGAAAUCUUAAAUGGUUUCCCUUUACGAAUUGUAGUUUAAAGAAGUGUUUUCUGUUGAGGUUUUGGUAAAAGUUCUUUGGAAUAGGACAUCAUAGAGGGUGAGAAUCCCGUAUUUGACCUUUACUUUCAACAUUUGUGAUACACUUUCAAAGAGUCGGAUUGUUUGGGAAUGCAGUCCAAAAUGGGUGGCUAAAUUUCAUCUAAAGCUAAAUAUUGGCGAGAGACCGAUAGCGAACAAGUACCGUGAGGGAAAGAUGAAAAGAACUUUGAAAAGAGAGUUAAACAGUACGUGAAAUUGUCAAAAGGGAAGCGUUUGACACCAGUGUUGUUUUUCUGAAAAUCAAUUAAAGAACUGUUUAUGCCUAAGUUGUUUAGACUUUAUCAGCUAUACUGUUUAGUUUUGAGCUUUUCUUUAAUGCACUUUUCAGUUAACAAGUCAACAUCAAUUUCUUUUGCUGUAAAAAAGCUUGAGGAAGGUGGCUUGAGAUUCGUCUUAAGUGUUUAUAGCCUCUUGCCUAUGCAGUCGGAGAGAUUGAGGUCUGCAGCGUAGAUCCUUCGGGGCUAAAUGCAUUUGUGCUAAGUUAUAGCAUUUUAUAGACAACUUGUUGACUAUGAUUUGUCUUGUAGCUUACUCGCUUAUGUUAUUUUACCUACGCUUAGGAUGUUGAAGAUAUGCGCGACACG